UACGUAGGGGGCAAGCGUUGUUCGGAAUCACUGGGCUUACAGGGCGCGUAGGCGGCUCAUCAAGUCGGGGGUGAAAUACUUCAGCUUAACUGGAGAAGUGCCUUCGAUACUGGUGGGCUUGAGGGAGGUAGGGGUCUUUGGAACUUCUGGUGGAGCGGUGAAAUGCGUUGAUAUCAGGAGGAACACCGGUGGCGAAGGCGGGUCUCUGGGCCGUAACUGACGCUGAGGCACGAAGGUCAGGGGAGCAAACGGG
rnacentral:rRNA from 1 species